rnacentral:lncRNA from 1 species
CCCACCCCCAGAGGAGCCCCUCCCCCUCCAAUCAUUCUGAUGUUGGGGGUGAGUCCUGGCAGGAUAGCUCACCUUCAUCUCCAAGGAGUAAGUUAACCGAAUUGAACUCAAGAAUAAAGUGCCAUCUACUUUCUGUCCACUUUCACCACUUUCUGUCUAACACACGACCCCAACAUGUUCCCUGUCUCUGUCUCUCACAGACCAGUCCAUAAGGAGCCCCUCUCCCUCAUCCAGGAGCCCCUCUCCCUCAUCCAGUCAUUCUGGGAACCACAGAGGAGGCUCCCAUUCUGGUGGUCCUCCUAGAGCCUCAAACAGCCAGUCCAUAAGGACCCCCUCUCCCUCAUCCAGUCAUUCCGGGAACCACAGAGGAGGCUCUCGUCCUGGUGGUUCUUCUCGAGCCUCAAACGGCCAGUCCAUAAGGACCCCCUCUCUCUCAUCCAGUCAUUCCAGGAACCACAGAGGAGGCUCCCAUUCUGGUGGUUCUUCUCGAAGUUCAAACGGUAAGUUGACCUAAAUGAAUUGAAGGAAAGAAUGCCGUUUGAACCUUAUUGUCUAGCACAGUGGCACAGUGGUUCUCAAAGUGCGGUCCAGGGACCACUGGUUGCUUAAGAUGUUGUUCUUUGAAUACAAAGAGGCUCCCGUUCUGGUGGCUCUCCUCAAACCUCAAACAGUAAGUAAAUGAACUGAAGCAAAAGAUGCUGUCUGAACGUUACUGUCUAGAACACAACCCCAAUAUGUUCCCUGUCUCUCACUCUUGUCACAGGCCAGUCCAUGAGGAGCCCCUCUUCCUCACCCAGGAACCACAAAGGCUCCCGUCCUGGUGGUUCUCCUUUAGCUUCAAACAGCAUCAGGGCCCGCUCCCCCAGAGAGAGGAACAGUGUAUUCCCCAUGGAAAAUGACAAAUUCCAGAGAUGUGUGAUGAAAAAAUUGGUGGAGAUCAUGGAGGUGGUGAAAAGAAUUGAGGCGGACCACCAAAGGGGAGAGACAUACCUGAGGGACAUUAAAAACCAUGUCGACCAUGGACGAGGUCCUCAUGUUAGAAGACAAGCUCAAUCAGGAGGAGGAGAGACAGGCUCUGGUAAGAUAUCAUAUGCCACUUAUCACAACCAAUGCAAACUGAUGAGGGCAUUGAUGAGGUGUUGUUGUCCUAUGCCCUCAUCAGUAGGUUAUUGACUUAAUAAUUGGCUUUAGAUUCUAUAUUUACUGUCUAUUUACUUCUUUCACAGAUGGCACAGUUAAGCAAGGUCGGGGGGAAGGACAUAAAAGACUGUUGCAAAAAUUUUGAACAGGUAUGUUCAGAUACAGGGUACAGUACUUCUUGAAAAUGUAGUUUUAGCUGUUUAACCUUUAUGCUGACCUUAUUUGGCCUGUGGCCUCUGAUGCUUCAGUCUCUCUUGUGUGCCUUGGUCUAUUGCAUUGUCUCUUUCCUAUUUAAUGAAAUCCGGAUCGGUUUUAAGUAUCAAUACUCUUUUGAUCCCGUGAGGGAAAUUUAGUCUCUGCAUUUAUCCCAAUCUGUGAAACACACUCAGCACACAGUGAACACACAGUGAGGUGAAGCACACACUAAUCCCGGCGCAGUGAGCUGCCUGCUACAACAGUCUGGAAUGGCAGGAGACUUGUCAUGGUUGCUACAACAGCGGCGCUCGGGGAGCAGUGAGGGGUUAGGAGCCUUGCUCAAGGGCACUUCAGCCAGUCCUACUGGUCGGGGUUUGAACCGGCAACCCUCCAGUUACAAGUCUGAUGCGCUAACCAGUAGGCCAUGGCUGCCCCUAAUUUUAGUUUUAUUUGUAAUUGUUUUUUUUGUAAUUUAGUUUUAUU